rnacentral:rRNA from 1 species
AUUGAACGCUGGCGGCAGGCCUAACACAUGCAAGUCGAACGAGUGGCGGACGGGUGAGUAAUGUCUGGGAAACUGCCUGAUGGAGGGGGAUAACUACUGGAAACGGUAGCUAAUACCGCAUACCAUCAGAUGUGCCCAGAUGGGAUUAGCUGGUUGGUGGGGUAACGGCUAACCAAGGCGACGAUCCCUAGCUGGUCCGAGAGGAUGACCAGCCAGACUGGAAAGUAGACAGGGUCCAGACUCCUACGGGAGGCAGCAGGGGGGAAUAUUGCAAAAUGGGCGCAAGCCGGAUGCAGCCAUGCGGCGGGUAGGAAGAAGGCCUUCGGGUUGGAAGGUACUUUCAGCGGGGAGGCGUUACCGGCAGAAGAAGCACCGGCUAACUCCGUGCCAGCAGCCGCGGUAAUUC